rnacentral:rRNA from 1 species
GAUGAACGCUGGCGGCGUGCCUAAUACAUGCAAGUCGAGCGAACAGACGAGGAGCUUGCUCCUCUGACGUUAGCGGCGGACGGGUGAGUAACACGUGGAUAACCUACCUAUAAGACUGGGGUAACUUCGGGAAACCGGAGCUAAUACCGGAUAAUAUAUUGAACCGCAUGGUUCAAUAGUGAAAGACGGUUUUGCUGUCACUUAUAGAUGGAUCCGCGCCGCAUUAGCUAGUUGGUAAGGUAACGGCUUACCAAGGCAACGAUGCGUAGCCGACCUGAGAGGGUGAUCGGCCACACUAGAACUGAGACACGGUCCAGACUCCUACGGGAGGCAGCAGUAGGGAAUCUUCCGCAAUGGGCGAAAGCCUGACGGAGCAACGCCGCGUGAGUGAUGAAGGUCUUCGGAUCGUAAAACUCUGUUAUUAGGGAAGAGCAAAUGUGUAAGUAACUAUGCACGUCUUGACGGUACCUAAUCAGAAAGCCACGGCUAACUACGUG